AACGAACGCUGGCGGCAUGCCUAACACAUGCAAGUCGAACGAUUGCCUUCGGGUGAUAGUGGCGCACGGGUGCGUAACGCGAGGGAAUCUGCCCUUAGGUUCGGAAUAACAGCUGGAAACGGCUGCUAAUACCGGAUGAUAUCGCGGGAUAAAAGAUUAAUCGCCUGAGGAUGAGCCCGCGUUGGAUUAGGUAGUUGGUGGGGUAAAGGCCUACCAAGCCGACGAUCCAUAGCUGGUCUGAGAGGAUGAUCAGCCACACUGGGACUGAGACACGGCCCAGACUCCUACGGGAGGCAGCAGUGGGGAAUAUUGGACAAUGGGCGCAAGCCUGAUCCAGCAAUGCCGCGUGAGUGAUGAAGGCCCUAGGGUUGUAAAGCUCUUUUACCCGGGAAGAUAAUGACGGUACCGGGAGAAUAAGCCCCGGCUAACUCCGUG
rnacentral:rRNA from 1 species